GCUGCGGUAGUUCAGAGGCAGAAUAAAUCCCCAGCACGGAUUAGACCCCGGUUCGAUUCCGGGCUACAACUCCA
rnacentral:tRNA from 1 species